rnacentral:lncRNA from 1 species
AUGGUAAACCGACUGUCAGAGGACAUGUCCUCCUUAGAAAAUCAGCUGUCCAAGAGCAUGGCCAAGUACAGUCCGUUGGACCCCGAACAGCUGGUGGACAUCUUUCUGCCAAUGUGGUUUAAAUCACAGGAACCACAGAAGAAAGAACGUGUCGCAGAGACACCAACACAGAGCAGGGCCAAGGUCACACAUUCGGAGGACAGUGAGAUGGACAGCCUCUUUGCAAGGAUCAAUGCAGACAUGUGGUACUACCAUGACCGUGAGGACUACCGGAAUAGCUGGUACUACCAGGUCUGCCAGGCUGAGCGAACAAGUGUGCAGACCACCGAUGGACUUGUCUCAGAGACACCAGCACAGAGCAGGCCCACAUACAGACCAUUGGACCCCGAACAGCUGGUGGACAUCUUUCUGCCAACGUGGUUUAAAUCACAGGAACCACAGAAGAAAGUACGUGUCGCAGAGACACCAGCACAGUGCAGGCCCACGUACAGACCGUUGGACCCCAAACAGCUGGUGGACAUCUUUCUGCCAACGUGGUUUAAAUCACAGGAACCACAGAAGAAAGAACGUGUCGCAGAGACACCAGCACAGAGCAGGGCCAAGGUCACACAUUCGGAGGACAGUGAGAUGGACAGCCUCUUUGCAAGGAUCAAUGCAGACAUGUGGUACUUCCAUGACCGUGAGGACUACCGGAAUAGCUGGUACUACCAGGUCUGCCAGGCCGAGCGAACAAGUGUGCAGACCACCGAUGGACUUGUCUCAGAGACACCAGCACAGAGCAGGCCCACAUACAGACCAUUGGACCCCGAACAGCUGGUGGACAUCUUUCUGCCAACGUGGUUUAAAUCACAGGAACCACAGAAGAAAGUACGUGUCGUAGAGACACCAGCACAGAGCAGGCCCACGUAUAGACCGUUGGACCCCGAACAGCUGGUGGACAUCUUUCUGCCAACGUGGUUUAAAUCACAGGAACCACAGAAGAAAGUACGUGUCGUAGAGACACCAGCACAGAGCAGGCCCACGUAUAGACCGUUGGACCCCAAACAGCUGGUGGACAUCUUUCUGCCAACGUGGUUUAAAUCACAGGAACCACAGAAGAAAGAACGUGUCGCAGAGACACCAGCACAGAGCAGGCCCACGUAUAGACCGUUGGACCCCGAACAGCUGGUGGACAUCUUUCUGCCAACGUGGUUUAAAUCACAGGAACCACAGAAGAAAGUACGUGUCGUAGAGACACCAGCACAGAGCAGGCCCACGUAUAGACCGUUGGACCCCAAACAGCUGGUGGACAUCUUUCUGCCAACGUGGUUUAAAUCACAGGAACCACAGAAGAAAGAACGUGUCGCAGAGACACCAGCCAAGGUCACACAUUCGGAGGACAGUGAGAUGAACAGCCUCUUUGCAAGGAUCAAUGCAGACAUCUGGUAUUACCAUGACCGUGAGGACUACCGGAAAAGCUGGUACUACCAGGUCUGCCAGGCUGAGCGACAAAGUGCGUAG